AUUGAACGCUGGCGGCAGGCCUAACACAUGCAAGUCGAGCGGUAGCACAAGAGAGCUUGCUCUCUGGGUGACGAGCGGCGGACGGGUGAGUAAUGUCUGGGAAACUGCCUGAUGGCGGGGGAUAACUAGUGGAAACGGUAGCUAAUACCGCAUAACGUCGCAAGACCAAAGUGGGGGACCUUCGGGCCUCACGCCAUCAGAUGUGCCCAGGUGGGAUUAGCUGGUAGGUGGGGUAACGGCUCACCUAGGCGACGAUCCCUAGCUGGUCUGAGAGGAUGACCAGCCACACUGGAACUGAGACACGGUCCAGACUCCUACGGGAGGCAGCAGUGGGGAAUAUUGCACAAUGGGCGCAAGCCUGAUGCAGCCAUGCCGCGUGUGUGAAGAAGGCCUUCGGGUUGUAAAGCACUUUCAGCGAGGAGGAAGGGUAAUGUG
rnacentral:rRNA from 1 species